rnacentral:rRNA from 1 species
AGAGUUUGAUCAUGGCUCAGAACAAAACGCUGGCGGCGUGCUUAACACAUGCAAGUCGUACGAGAAAGUCCGCUUCGGCGGAUGAGUAAAGUGGCGCACGGGUGCGUAACACGUGGGUAAUCUGCCCUUCAGUGGGGAAUAACUCGCCGAAAGGCGGGCUAAUACCGCAUAAUACCGUUUCCACCCCGGUGGGACGGUCAAAGACAGCCUCUGUUUACAAGCUGUCGCUGAAGGAUGAGCCCGCGGCCUAUCAGCUAGUUGGUGGGGUAAUGGCUCACCAAGGCUGUGACGGGUAGCUGGUCUGAGAGGAUGGCCAGCCACACUGGAACUGAGACACGGUCCAGACUCCUACGGGAGGCAGCAGUGGGGAAUCUUGGGCAAUGGGGGCAACCCUGACCCAGCGACGCCGCGUGAGUGAGGAAGGUCUUCGGAUCGUAAAGCUCUGUCGGAUGGGAAGAAAUGUGUGGAAGUGAACAGCUUCCAUGCUUGACGGUACCAUCAGAGGAAGCACCGGCUAACUCCGUGCCAGCCGCCGCGGUAAUAC